UACGUAGGUGGCAAGCGUUGUCCGGAAUUAUUGGGCGUAAAGCGCGCGCAGGUGGUUUCUUAAGUCUGAUGUGAAAGCCCACGGCUCAACCGUGGAGGGUCAUUGGAAACUGGGGAACUUGAGUGCAGAAGAGGAAAGUGGAAUUCCAAGUGUAGCGGUGAAAUGCGCAGAUAUCAGGAAGAACACCCGUGGCUAAGGCGGCUCUCUAGUACGGUACUGACGCUGAGACGCGAAAGCGUGGGGAGCGAACAGG
rnacentral:rRNA from 1 species